rnacentral:ncRNA from 1 species
CCGCCUCGAAGCUCCCUUCCCAACGGGCGGUGGGCUGAAUCCUUUGCAGACGACUUAAAUACGCGACGGGGCAUUGUAAGUGGCAGAGUGGCCUUGCUGCCACGAUCCACUGAGAUCCAGCCCCACUCCGCACGGAUUCGU